GAUGAACGCUGGCGGCGUGCUUAACACAUGCAAGUCGAACGGUGAACGAGGGAGCUUGCUCCCUCCGGAUCAGUGGCGAACGGGUGAGUAACACGUGAGCAAUCUGCCCUGGACUCUGGGAUAAGCGUUGGAAACGACGUCUAAUACCGGAUACGAGGCGUGGGGGCAUCCCCAACGCCUGGAAAGAACUUCGGUCCAGGAUGAGCUCGCGGCCUAUCAGCUAGUUGGUGGGGUAACGGCCCACCAAGGCGACGACGGGUAGCCGGCCUGAGAGGGUGACCGGCCACACGGGGACUGAGACACGGCCCAGACUCCUACGGGAGGCAGCAGUGGGGAAUAUUGCACAAUGGGCGCAAGCCUGAUGCAGCAACGCCGCGUGAGGGACGACGGCCUUCGGGUUGUAAACCUCUUUUAGCAGGGAAGAAGCGAAAGUGACGGUACCUGCAGAAAAAGCACCGGCUAACUACGUGCCAGCCGCCGCUGUAAGAC
rnacentral:rRNA from 1 species